ACCAAGGUCUCCUCCUGUUCCAGGUGUGUCACCUUGGUGCCUGUGAGCAGGGAGCAGUGCCUGGCUGCCAUGUGCUGGGGGGGUGGUUCUGUUCUUUCAGAGUUCUGCUCUUUCAGCUCUCUUGGCAGCAUCCUGAGGUUGGUGGUAUUUGCCACCUUCUCCAGGCUGAGCCCAUGCUCUUCCCUGCCAACAAAGCACGGCCUGUGGAUCUCACCAACAUCACCUGUAUUGAUCUGAUACUCCAGAGCUGCCCUGUAAUCCCCAAAUCCUACUGAAUUCACAGCCUAGUGAUGCAGCAAUGUCAAAGGGAUGCAGCUGGUAAUUCUGCCUGGCUGUUAAACUGUCUCAUGUCACCCUGCUUCCAAUGGCUGCUGACAAGGAAAUUAUACCUGGAUCCCUGUAAUCCUAAAUUCAACAUGAAGAAGGGACCUGAAUGCUACUACACAUCUGCCUGCUGAUUUCCAAACCAUCUUAUACAAUUUCCAAAAUAGCUUAUGCAAUAUAUGACCUGGAGAGAAGGCACAUUUUCUUCCAGGAAAGAAAAAGGAAAAAAGGUCAAGCUUUUCUGCCUCCCUCUUCCCAGAGGAAAGAUGGAAUAUGGAGGCUCAAAGGCCUGCCACGGUGGCUACAACAUUUCAACCCUGGAGGGGCAGAAAGAAGCAAGGAAAAACACCCCUCUAAGAUACCCCUGAUGGCCAAGAGACUACCUUUUCCAAAAUGAAAUCUGUCCUGGAAAAAGAUCUCCAGUUUGUGGUAAAAAUAACUAUUACUUCAGAGGCCCAUGGAAAAGCACCUGCCUGGGUAGCAGGAGACUGGCAAAUCACAGAUACAAAAAUGGAUGUGACACCUUCUGUGCAGAACCUCCAUUGGUGACGUUGAGCUGUCCCAUCUUCCCUUUUUCCGUGGAGAACUUUGUAUUAUCUUGAUGUUUAGUGACACAUGGAAGGUAAAAUGGUCUAAAUCUUAAUGAUUCAUGGGAUGGGGACUGUUUGUCAGCUUCAAUAAAUCUGUUAGCCUCUUUGACAGUGAGGAGGGAAGAGCUGUUUUGAAUUCAUGCUAUGUUUUAAAAGUUUCUUUCAAAGAGU